rnacentral:rRNA from 1 species
GGGGAAUCUUGCACAAUGGGCGGAAGCCUGAUGCAGCGACGCCGCGUGAGGGAUGACGGCCUUCGGGUUGUAAACCUCUUUCGCCAGGGACGAAGCCUUCGGGUGACGGUACCUGGAUAAGAAGCACCGGCCAACUACGUGCCAGCAGCCGCGGUAAUACGUAGGGCGCGAGCGUUGUCCGGAAUUACUGGGCGUAAAGAGCUCGUAGGCGGUUUGUCGCGUCGUCUGUGAAAUUCUGCAGCUUAACUGCAGGCGUGCAGGCGAUACGGGCAGACUUGAGUACUACAGGGGAGACUGGAAUUCCUGGUGUAGCGGUGAAAUGCGCAGAUAUCAGGAGGAACACCGGUGGCGAAGGCGGGUCUCUGGGUAGUAACUGACGCUGAGGAGCGAAAGCGUGGGUAGCGAAC